rnacentral:lncRNA from 1 species
GACUUUCUCCUUUUGGCAGGGGAAGGCCAAGAAAUUGCACAGCUUCUGCGAGUCUUCCUGCUGGACGUCUACCUGCCUCCUGGGCCCUGAGGAAGUAGAGCCUACUCACCUGGUGCUGAUUGCUGAAUUGAUAGCAGAGUUUCUCAGGCAGUGUACAUCUCUCUGGGCUGACUUUAUGCCCAUGCCCUGACCAGGGGCCCCCUCCACAGCACUGGGGAAGACUAAGGGUAAUGAACUUGACUGGUACAUAUCUCAAAAGUCAAGUGACUCUCCGGGCUUGGCUGUGGGAGCUGUGGGACC